GUUCCCGGUGAUGCUUUAAAUAAAGCCAUGCUAAUACUGAUCACUGCAUGAUGAUUCUUAUCUCAUAUAUUCUGAGGGAACU